rnacentral:lncRNA from 1 species
ACAAGUCAAACUCACAAAGGCAAUUAAAAUGGCUCUACACAAUUAAUUUGGCAUUUAAUCAAUUAAAAAUAUUAAAAAUAAUGCAUUAAAUUAAAUAUGGUUUGUCAAUUUCCUAAAUUCUCAUCAAAACACCAAAGAAAUGGCCAUGAGAUUUAUCAUAGGUCAAACAAGGUCAAAGGACCUUGGAGAAAAAAAUUCAGAAUUUUUGGAAACUUAAAGUAUUUUUAAACAAUUGAAAAUAUUCACAAAAUCAAUUAAAUCAUGA